UGGGGAAUAUUGCACAAUGGAGGGAACUCUGAUGCAGCGACGCCGCGUGAACGAAGAAGGCUUUCGAGUCGUAAAGUUCUUUUAUAUGGGAAGAUAAUGACGGUACCAUAAGAAGAAGCCCCGGCUAACUACGUGCCAGCAGCCGCGGUAAUACGUAGUGGGCUAGCGUUGUCCGGAAUCACUGGGCGUAAAGGGUUCGCAGGCGGAAAUGCAAGUCAGGUGUAAAAGGCAGUAGCUUAACUACUGUAAGCAUUUGAAACUGCAUAUCUUGAGAAGAGUAGAGGUAAGUGGAAUUUUUAGUGUAGCGGUGAAAUGCGUAGAUAUUAAAAAGAAUACCGGUGGCGAAGGCGACUUACUGGGCUCAUUCUGACGCUGAGGAACGAAAGCGUGGGUAGCAAACAGG
rnacentral:rRNA from 1 species